rnacentral:lncRNA from 1 species
CACUGGGUGUGCCUGCCUGCCCGUGUGGGAAGAAGGAAUCCUUUGUCCCUGCUUGUGUGUCUCUCUGAUGUGCUGGUUGUGGUCAGAUCAAUCCACUGCAUUUAUAUCAACAGCGAUGACGCUAUCCAACAACCAGCAACCUCGGUGCCCCCUAGCCUCAGUAAUGUCCAUGGUGCAGAAAAACAAACUGCAAUUCAUAGUUUGAUGUGGGUUCUGUUUCUCAGUGAUAGUUCACUUCCUGAUUGACCCAGAUAAGAUGAAGCCUAUUCAACUACCGCGACCUCUUGGGUUAGGUGUUUCUUUUCUGCCUGGUUCAGUAGUUCAUGACCUCUUGGGUUAGGUGUUUCUUUUCUGCCUGGUUCAGUAGUUCAUGACCUCUAGGGUCUAAGUGUUGAAAAGCCCUGAUCCAAAUGGUGAACAGUCCUCUUAAUAUCUUGAAGCCUUAACGUAUUGAUCGAUCCCUGGACUAUUAUUUCGGACUAAUAUUAAUGAUCUGCUGAACGGAUCUAAACUAAACCAACGCAGUAACCAGGUCUCUUAGGCUGCAGUACCUAUCCCCCUAGUUAGACCCAGAUCUGUUAGGCUGCAGUACCUAUCCUCCUAGUUAGACCCAGGUCUGUUAGGCUACAGUACCUAUCCCCCUAGUUAGACCCAGAUCUGUUAGGCUGCAGUACCUAUCCUCCUAGUUAGACCCAGGUCUGUUAGGCUGCAGUACCUAUCCUCCUAGUUAGACCCAGGUAUGUUAGGCUGCACUACCUAUCCCCCUAGUUAGACCCAGGUCUGUUAGGCUGCAGUACCUAUCCCCCUAGUUAGACCCAGGUCUGUUAGCGCUGCAGUACCUAUCCCCCUAGUUAGACCCAGGUCUGUUAGGCUACAGUACCUAUCCCCCUAGUUAGACCCAGAUCUGUUAGGCUGCAGUACCUAUCCCCCUAGUUAGACCCAGGUCUGUUAGGCUGCAGUACCUAUCCCCCUAGUUAGACCCAGGUCUGUUAGGCUACACUACCUAUCCCCCAUAGUUAGACCCAAGUCUGUCAGCUACGGUAUCUAUUUCCACUGGUCUUGUUAGGUCUAUCUGGGAGUGCUUAAACUCCAUACUUCCUGCCGUCUGGGCUCCGGACUUUUUAAAUUUUAUUCCUUGAAUUAAGGGUCCAGGUCAAAUAUUUUCGAUUAUGAACCUCAAGGUAUUUUUAUUCUCUGGACAUUGGAGAAUUUCGUUUUUUUUCUCCCCCCCUCUCUCCAUCUCUCAUUUUCUCUUUAUUUGUCUCUGUCUCUCACAGGGAAUAUUCGGAUGGAAAGGUUGAUGAUCUCUCCCAUGGAAAUAAAUUACCCAGAUUUCCUGAGUUAAUGUCAAAAUGGCUGAGUGAUGGGGGGGGGAUCCCACUAAUGAUGUUAUUCAUAAUUCAUAAACUGUUUCACUGUUACCAAGUCUUGUUACUGUAGAAUAAAGAUCAAAGUGAAUAGCAGACUGUUAUUAGAAGUCAACGUCGUCUCAACCACAAUGACAUCUAUAAUGGUUUCCCAGAAGACCGGACUGGGGCACAAUAAUGUACUGUGGUUAAUCUCCCUGGACUGUGUGGGUCUUCCACCUGGUAAUCUACCCGUGGCUGUGUCCCAAGGGCCUUCCCCCUGGUUAUCUCCCUGGGCUUUGUACCAAGGUAUUUCCACCUGGUUAUCUCCCUGGGCUGUGUACCAAGGUAUUUCCCCCUGGUUAUCUCCCUGGGCUUUGUACCAAGGUAUUUCCACCUGGUUAUCUCCCUGGGCUUUGUACCAAGGUAUUUCCCCCUGGUUAUCUCCCUGGGCUUUGUACCAAGGUAUUUCCACCUGGUUAUCUCCCUGGGCUUUGUACCAAGG